ensembl:snRNA U4 U4 spliceosomal RNA
AGCUUUGCACAGUGGCGGUAUCAUAGCCAAUGAGGUUUAUCCGAGGCACGAUUAUUGCUAAUUGAAAAGCAAAAACUAUAGUAAAAAAAGAAAGAAAAAUAUUUUU